rnacentral:rRNA from 1 species
UACGGAGGGUGCAAGCGUUAUCCGGAUUCACUGGGUUUAAAGGGUGCGUAGGUGGGUUGGUAAGUCAGUGGUGAAAUCUCCGUGCUUAACAUGGAAACUGCCAUUGAUACUACUGGUCUUGAAUUUUCUGGAGGUAAGCGGAAUAUGUCAUGUAGCGGUGAAAUGCUUAGAUAUGACAUAGAACACCAAUUGCGAAGGCAG